AUUAGUGUUUCCGGCGAGAGAAACAUUUUUUUUUUUUUUACUUGGGAGAAGUAUGUUAGAUUAAUAAUUAGUUCUUUGCAUUUUUUAUGGGUAGUCUGGCUGGGAUAUGCAUGUUAGCUUCCUAACUAGGUUGAAUGCCUAUUCCCUGCAGAUUAUCUUUUUCUUCGUCGCAUAAUUUAUCUCUGUUGCUUCGCAACAGGAAAAGUUGUUUUCUACCUUCUCAUCCUCUUCACGUAUUCGGUUACAGAGUAUGCUUGGCACAUGGAGCCUUCCCAACAGGAGGGUUAGCACUUCGUGCUAUAUAUAUUGCUAAAGCCACUUCUUUAGCUCUGCAGGCUAUACAAAUUCGAUACGGGAUUCCUCACAAAAGCACCUUGUAUCAGCAGUUCUUGACCAGUGAAGUUUCACGAAUUAAUUACUUAGGCUAUAGACUUUAUCGUGCUCUGCCCUUCGUAUAUGAAUUGCGAUGUGUACUGACUGGUCGUGCACAGCAACAUCUUUGACCAUGUAUGACUGGCUGAAGGUUUGAUGUGGAAAAUUCAGUGCUGAAGACGGAGUUAGAUGCUGCUAAAUUACGGGCUUUGGAGUCAGCUGCAAGUUAUCAGGAAGUAGUGGAGAGGGAGCAGAUAGCUCUGAAAAAGGCCCAGUCAUGGGAGGGUCAAAAGGCGUUGUUGCAGGAAGAGCAUGAGAGAGAGAAGUGCAAGGUAGCUGAGCUGCAACAGGAAUUAGACGAGGCUAAGAACCUCCAAAACCACAUUGAGGCCAGAUGAAAACAGGAUAGGACUAUUCCGGAGAAACUACUUACACAGUCUGCCUCCAAAAGACAGGCAGAAAGCUUCAAGACAACUGGUAGGGGAGAGGCUGAUCUGGUCUAUGUCAUCGACGAAGUGCAUGGCUGGACUUUCAUCUUCAUUUAUAAUUUUGAUGCCAAAUUUAUGCAUUUUUGUCAUCUUCUGGGAGACGCGCCGAUUUUCGACAAAAAUAGCCCCUGCUGUCGGUUGAAAUUGGGUUCUUUUGUUUGUUUUGUGUUUUUCCUUUGUUUCUCUAGUCACAGCCUGCUUUUGUAUUGCUCAAAUUUUAUUGAAAUAUCUAUUAGCUUGUAGUUAGAUCCGCCCUCUUUUCUUUUUAGAUUGUGCGUUAUUGUAAAGAGAGGCUCAAAUGUUGUUCUUGUAGGGUUUGUGUUUUUGCCUAAGCAAUUGUUUUUUAAGUCAGAUCCUUCUGACUUAGAGUGUAGGGGGUCUUGUCCCUCUGUUCUCAAGAUGUAUGCCUUCGGGCUUUUUCAGUAUUAAUAAUAGCACAUUCUAUUUGUUAAAAAAAAAAUGUCUUAUUCAAACU